rnacentral:rRNA from 1 species
GCGUGCUUUUACAGUAUGGAAAUUGGUGAUUUAUAAUAACUUGGCAAAUCGCAAAGUGAAAACAGGCGAUAAAUCAUUCAAGUUUCUGACCUAUCAGCUUUCGACGGUAUGGUAUUGGCUUACCGUGGCAGUGACGGUUAACGGGGGAUUAGGGUUCGAUUCCGGAGAGGGAGCCUGAGAAACGGCUACCACAUCUAAGGAAGGCAGCAGGCGCGCAAAUUACCCAAUUCUAACAGUUUGAGAGAGGUAGUAACAAGAAAUAACAAUACAAGGCAAUUAAAAUGCUUUGUAAUUGGAAUGAUAGAAAUUUAAACCCUUUUUAAAGUAUCAAUUGGAGGGCAAGUCUGGUGCCAGCAGCCGCGGUAAUUCCAGCUCCAAUAGCGUAUAUUAAAAUUGUUGCAGUUAAAAAGCUCGUAGUUGAAGUUCUGCUAAAAGUAACCGGUCUGCUUUUAAUAAAAGUGGUAUCUUGGUGUGUAUUUAGCAAUGAUGUCCUUUGAAGAGUUUUUUACUUUAUUGAAUAAAGCAUAUCCGGACUUUUACUUUGAAAAAU